rnacentral:rRNA from 1 species
AGUGAACGCUGGCGGUAGGCCUAACACAUGCAAGUCGAACGGCAGCACAGUAAGAGCUUGCUCUUACGGGUGGCGAGUGGCGGACGGGUGAGGGAUACAUCGGAAUCUACUUUUUCGUGGGGGAUAACGUAGGGAAACUUACGCUAAUACCGCAUACGACCUACGGGUGAAAGCAGGGGAUCUUCGGACCUUGCGCGAUUGAAUGAGCCGAUGUCGGAUUAGCUAGUUGGCGGGGUAAAGGCCCACCAAGGCGACGAUCCGUAGCUGGUCUGAGAGGAUGAUCAGCCACACUGGAACUGAGACACGGUCCAGACUCCUACGGGAGGCAGCAGUGGGGAAUAUUGGACAAUGGGCGCAAGCCUGAUCCAGCCAUACCGCGUGGGUGAAGAAAGCCUUCGGGUUGUAAAGCCCUUUUGUUGGGAAAGAAAAGCAGCAGGUUAAUACCCCGCUGUUCUGACGGUACCCAAAGAAUAAGCACCGGCUAACUUCGUG